AUUAGCGCCACUUGGAUCCCUUUGUCGACAUCCACAUCAAGUGAGAUGAUUGUCAGUCAAAAUCAACUGAUCAUAUAUCUUUUUCUCCCAGUUGAUGCUCAUUAUUCAUCAACAAUGAAAGAUAUUAAAAGGUCUUUGGAAGGCAUUAUGAAAGUAUCAGGCAAAAGUGAUUCUCAAUUACUCCAUUAAAGAUUUGAACUCUGUAGCAAAUUGCAAAGUUGCAUUGGAUCUUGAGAACAGACGGCAAAGAUGCAAGCGAGGAUUAAUCAAUUUUGGUUUUUCUACUCGAAACGAAGCGUCAGGGCGCUGAGUAAACAUGGAACAAAAGCUGUUGGAUGACUUGCUGCUCGCAAGCUAGAUACCUUUCUGAGCAUUUUGCGAGAGAAAAGAUAUCGUCAAGGCGUGCACGAAGGGAAAAACAAUGUGAUCUUCCAUGGGAGAAAGAAACUAACAGCUCUCAUUCCACCAGCAACUCGGCGAGCAUCGUAAACGUUUCGUUAUUCCCGUGAGCAACAGAUCUCAAGACAUUGCUCGACAAAAACAGACUUUGAACAUGUGAAGAGAAAGAUUUCCUUCAACAUUCCAGCCUUUAUUAUACGCAGUUUGAAAUGUAUGCUAUUGAAAACAUCCGUGGUCAUUACAAAAAAUAUUUACAUCAUGAAUGAAAGUG